rnacentral:rRNA from 1 species
GACGAACGCUGGCGGCGUGCUUAACACAUGCAAGUCGAACGGAAAGGCCCUGCUUGCAGGGUACUCGAGUGGCGAACGGGUGAGUAACACGUGGGUGAUCUGCCCUGCACUUCGGGAUAAGCCUGGGAAACUGGGUCUAAUACCGGAUAGGAGCCAUUUUUAGUGUGAUGGUUGGAAGGUUUUUUCGGUGUAGGAUGAGCUCGCGGCCUAUCAGCUUGUUGGUGGGGUAAUGGCCUACCAAGGCGGCGACGGGUAGCCGGCCUGAGAGGGUGGACGGCCACAUUGGGACUGAGAUACGGCCCAGACUCCUACGGGAGGCAGCAGUGGGGAAUAUUGCACAAUGGGCGCAAGCCUGAUGCAGCGACGCCGCGUGGGGGAUGACGGCCUUCGGGUUGUAAACUCCUUUCGCUAGGGACGAAGCUUUUUGUGACGGUACCUAGAUAAGAAGCACCGGCUAACUACGUG